rnacentral:rRNA from 1 species
GGACAACCUACCCUGAGGACGGGUAUAAACCCGGGAAACUGGGUAUAAUCCCCGAUAGUCCUCGGCUGCUGGAAUGCACCGAGGACGAAAGCUCCGGCGCCUUAGGAUGGGUCUGCGGCCUAUCAGGGUAGUAGUGGGUGUAACGUACCUACUAGCCUACGACGGGUACGGGUUGUGAGAGCAAGAGCCCGGAGAUGGAUUCUGAGACACGAAUCCAGGCCCUACGGGGUGCAGCAGGCGCGAAAACUUUACAAUGCUGGCAACAGCGAUAAGGGAACCUCGAGUGCCAGGUUACAAAUCUGGCUGUCGAGAUGCCUAAAAAGCAUUUCAUAGCAAGGGCCGGGCAAGACCGGUGCCAGCCGCCGCGGUAACACCGGCGGCUCGAGUGGUAACCGUUAUUAUUGGGUCUAAAGGGUCUGUAGCCGGCCGGAUAAGUCUCUUGGGAAAUCCAGCAGCCUAACUGUUGGGCUUUCAGGAGAUACUAUUCGGCUCGAGGCCGGGAGAGGUGAGAGGUACUUCAGGGGUAGGGGUGAAAUCUUGUAAUCCUUGAAGGACCACCAGUGGCGAAGGCGUCUCACCAGAACGGACCUGACGGCAAGGGACGAAAGCUAGGGGCACGAAC